rnacentral:rRNA from 1 species
AAUAGAUACCCAGGUAGUCCACGCCGUAAACGUUGGGCACUAGGUGUGGGGAGCCGUCAACGCUCUCUGUGCCGUAGCUAACGCAUUAAGUGCCCCGCCUGGGGAGUACGGCCGCAAGGCUAAAACUCAAAGGAAUUGACGGGGGGCCCGCACAGGCGGCGGAGCAUGUUGCUUAAUUCGAGGCAACGCGAAGAACCUUACCUAGGUUGAACUAUGCAGGAAAAGCCACAGAGAUGUGGUGUCCUUCGGGGCCUGCGAUAGGUGGUGCAUGGCUGUCGUCAGCUCGUGUCGUGAGAUGUUGGGUUAAGUCCCGCAACGAGCGCAACCCUUGUCCUAUGUUGCCAGCGGGUAAAGCCGGGGACUCGUAGGAGACUGCCGGGGUCAACUCGGAGGAAGGUGGGGACGACGUCAAGUCAUCAUGCCCCUUAUGUCUAGGGCUGCAAAUAUGCUACAAUGGCCGGUACAGAGGGCUGCGAAACCGCGAGGUCGAGCGAAUCCCAAAAAGCCGGUCUCAGUUCGGAUUGAAGUCUGCAACUCGACUU